rnacentral:rRNA from 1 species
UGAACGCUGGCGGCGUGCUUACCACAUGCAAGUCGAACGAAGCAUUUGCGACAGAUUUUUUCGGAAUGAAGUUGCUUAUGACUGAGUGGCGGACGGGUGAGUAACGCGUGGGUAACCUGCCUUGUACUGGGGGAUAGCAGCUGGAAACGGCUGGUAAUACCGCAUAAGCGCACAAUGUUGCAUGACAUGGUGUGAAAAACUCCGGUGGUAUAAGAUGGACCCGCGUCUGAUUAGCUAGUUGGUGAGAUAACAGCCCACCAAGGCGACGAUCAGUAGCCGACCUGAGAGGGUGACCGGCCACAGUGGGACUGAGACACGGCCCAGACUCCUACGGGAGGCAGCAGUGGGGAAUAUUGCACAAUGGAGGAAACUCUGAUGCAGCGACGCCGCGUGAGUGAAGAAGUAAUUCGUUAUGUAAAGCUCUAUCAGCAGGGAAGAUAGUGACGGUACCUGACGAAGAAGCUCCGGCUAAAUACGUG